UCUACGGGAGGCAGCAGUGGGGAAUAUUGGGCAAUGGGCGCAAGCCUGACCCAGCAACGCCGCGUGAAGGAAGAAGGCUUUCGGGUUGUAAACUUCUUUUCUGAGGGACGAAGAAAGUGACGGUACCUCAGAAAUAAGCCACGGCUAACUACGUGCCAGCAGCCGCGGUAAUACGUAGGUGGCAAGCGUUAUCCGGAUUUAUUGGGUUUAAAGGGCGUGUAGGCGGGAAAGCAAGUCAGAUGUGAAAACGCAGGGCUCAACCCUUAGCCUGCUUUUGAAACUGUUUUUCUUGAGUGCUGGAGAGGAAAGCGGAAUUCCGGGUGUAGCGGUGAAAUGCGUAGAUAUACGGAGGAACACCAGUGGCGAAGGCGGAUUGCUGGACAGUAACUGACGCUCAGGCGCGAAAGCGUGGGGAGCAAACAGGAUUAGAUACCCGAGUAGUC
rnacentral:rRNA from 1 species